rnacentral:misc_RNA from 1 species
UUGACUUAUUUAUAAGUUGUACUCAGAGAUGACACUGGUAAACAAGAGUUUAGAGUUCCAUCGGCGGUCCGCGGGAGGCGGCUACAGGGUAGCUACCGCGCGGCCCACCGAGGCAACAGAGGUAAGUUCACAUGGGUUUGGGAGUUUUUUACGACUCUUUAAUGAUCCCUCCGCUGGUUCACCAACGGAGA